ACUCUCAUAUAGUCCCAUAAACA
rnacentral:tRNA from 1 species